rnacentral:rRNA from 1 species
GAUGAACGCUAGCGACAGGCCUAACACAUGCAAGUCGAGGGGCAGCACAUGCGUAGCAAUACAAUGGUGGCGACCGGCGCACGGGUGAGUAACACGUAUGCAACCUACCUGUAAGAGGGGAAUAACCCGGAGAAAUUCGGACUAACACCGCGUAAUACCUCGAAGCUGCAUGGCUUUGAGGUUAAAUAUUUAUAGCUUACAGAUGGGCAUGCGUAACAUUAGAUAGUUGGUGAGGUAACGGCUCACCAAGUCAACGAUGGUUAGGGGUUCUGAGAGGAAGGUCCCCCACACUGGUACUGGGACACGGACCAGACUCCUACGGGAGGCAGAAGUGAGGAAGAUUGGUAAAGGGGGGAGAGCCUGAACCAGCCAAGUCGCGUGAAGGAAGAAGGUUCUAUGGAUUGUAAACUUCUUUUGUAAGGGAAUAAAAAAGCUUACGUGUAGGCUAUUGUAUGUACUUUACGAAUAAGGAUCGGCUAACUCCGUGCCAGCCGCCGCCGUAACAC